UACGGAGGACGCGAGCGUUAUCCGGAUUUAUUGGGUUUAAAGGGUGCGUAGGCGGAUCGUUAAGUCAGUGGUCAAAUUGAGGGGCUCAACCCCUUCCCGCCAUUGAAACUGGCGAUCUUGAGUGGAAGAGAAGUAUGCGGAAUGCGUGGUGUAGCGGUGAAAUGCAUAGAUAUCACGCAGAACCCCGAUUGCGAAGGCAGCAUGCCGGCUUCCUACUGACGCUGAAGCACGAAAGCGUGGGGAUCGAACAGG
rnacentral:rRNA from 1 species